rnacentral:rRNA from 1 species
UACAGAGGUCUCAAGCGUUGUUCGGAUUCAUUGGGCGUAAAGGGUGCGUAGGCGGCGCGGUCAGUCGGGUGUGAAAUCUCGGAGCUUAACUCCGAAACUGCAUUCGAUACUGCCGUGCUUGAGGACUGGAGAGGAGACUGGAAUUUACGGUGUAGCGGUGAAAUGCGUAGAUAUCGUAAGGAAGACCAGUGGCGAAGGCGGGUCUCUGGACAGUUCCUGACGCUGAGGCACGAAGGCCAGGGGAGCAAACGGG